GAUGAACGCUGGCGGCGUGCCUAAUACAUGCAAGUCGAGCGAACAGACGAGGAGCUUGCUCCUCUGACGUUAGCGGCGGACGGGUGAGUAACACGUGGAUAACCUACCUAUAAGACUGGGAUAACUUCGGGAAACCGGAGCUAAUACCGGAUAAUAUAUUGAACCGCAUGGUUCAAUAGUGAAAGACGGUUUUGCUGUCACUAAUAGAUGGAUCCGCGCCGCAUUAGCUAGUUGGUAAGGUAACGGCUUACCAAGGCAACGAUGCGUAGCCGACCUGAGAGGGUUGACCGACACACUGGAACCGAGACACGGUCCAGACUCCUACGGGAGGCAGCAGUAGGGAAUCUUCCGCAAUGGGCGAAAGCUUGACGGAGCAACGCCGCGUGAGUGAUGAAGGUCUUCGGAUCGUAAAACUCUGUUAUUAGGGAAGAACAAAUGUGUAAGUAACUAUGCACGUCUUGACGGUACCUAAUCAGAAAGCCACGGCUAACUACGUG
rnacentral:rRNA from 1 species